rnacentral:rRNA from 1 species
CCUACGGGUGGCAGCAGUGAGGAAUAUUGGUCAAUGGACGAGAGUCUGAACCAGCCAAGUAGCGUGAAGGAUGACUGCCCUAUGGGUUGUAAACUUCUUUUAUAUGGGAAUAAAACGUUCCACGUGUGGGAUUUUGUAUGUAUCAUAUGAAUAAGGAUCGGCUAACUCCGUGCCAGCAGCCGCGGUAAUACGGAGGAUCCGAGCGUUAUCCGGAUUUAUUGGGUUUAAAGGGAGCGUAGGUGGAUUGUUAAGUCAGUUGUGAAAGUUUGCGGCUCAACCGUAAAAUUGCAGUUGAUACUGGCAGGCUUGAGUACAGUAGAGGUAGGCGGAAUUCGUGGUGUAGCGGUGAAAUGCUUAGAUAUCACGAAGAACUCCGAUUGCGAAGGCAGCUCACUGAACUGCAACUGACACUGAUGCUCGAAAGUGUGGGUAUCAAACAGGAUUAGAUACCCCUGUAGUC